rnacentral:lncRNA from 1 species
AAAAAAAAUAGAGAAGGGCUUCAUCGGAGGUGAUUUAUGAAAUUCCCCGCGGCAGUGCUACUGGGUUUCGGCGGCAUUUUUCGGCCAAUUGACCGGUUCUUUCACUCCAAUUUGACUAUGGGUGGGUUUAAAAUCGGAUUUCGUGCAAAAAGAGAAAUUUUUACCUUUUUGGGCGGUCAAAAAAGAUUCCGGUGCAGCGGCGGGUAGCGGCGGUCGGCUCCCUAAUGGCUGGGCUUUCUUCUCCGAUGAGAGGUUCUGGCAGCUAGGGUUAGGGUUUUGGCGCAGAUGAAGUUAUUUAUACCCAUCCGCUUUUGAUCUGGGUCAUCCAUCGC